rnacentral:rRNA from 1 species
CCGUUUGAGAGAUGGAGUGACACAGUAGGAUAAGCUAACCGUACUGUUGGUUAUGUACGGCUAAGCAUUGAGUAGUCUAAAUAGGCAAAUCCGUUUAGACAAUGCUAGGAUGUGAUGGGGAAGCCCUUCGGGGCAAAGUAGCUGAUUUCACACUGUCAAGAAAAGCUUCUAUCGAGUUUAAAGGCGCCCGUACCGUAAACCGACACAGGUGGGUGAGGAGAGUAUUCUAAGGCCAGCGAGAGAACUAUUGUUAAGGAACUCGGCAAAAUGACCCCGUAACUUAGGGAGAAGGGGUGCCUGUCUAUGACAGGCCGCAGAGAAUAGGCCCAAGCGACUGUUUACCAAAAACACAGGUUUCUGCUAAGUCGCAAGACGAUGUAUAGGAGCUGACGCCUGCCCGGUGCUGGAAGGUUAAGGGGAUCUGUUAGAGCAAUCGAAGCAGUGAACUUAAGCCCCAGUAAACGGCGGCCGUAACGAUAACGGUCCUAAGGUAGCGAAAUUCCUUGUCGGGUAAGUUCCGACCCGCACGAAAGGCGUAACGAUUUGGGCACUGUCUCAACAAUAGACUCGGUGAAAUUGUAAUCCCGGUGAAGAUGCCGGGUACCUGCGACAGGACGGAAAGACCCCAUGGAGCUUUACUGUAGCUUGACGUUGGGUCUUGGUACUACAUGUACAGGAUAGGUGGGAGACUAUGAAGCAUGGACGCCAGUCUGUGUGGAGUCAUCCUUGGGAUACCACCCUUGUAGUACUGGGAUCCUAACCAUAGGCCUUGAAUCAGGUCUUGGAACACCGUCAGGUGGGCAGUUUGACUGGGGCGGUCGCCUCCUAAAAAGUAACGGAGGCGCUCAAAGGUUUCCUCAGCACGGUCGGAAAUCGUGCGAAGAGUGUAAAGGCAAAAGGAAGCUUGAUUGCAAGACAUACAGGUCGAGCAAGGACGAAAGUCGGACUUAGUGAUCCGGUGGUACCGCAUGGAAGGGCCAUCGCUCAACGGAUAAAAGCUACCCUGGGGAUAACAGGCUUAUCUCCCCCAAGAGUCCACAUCGACGGGGAGGUUUGGCACCUCGAUGUCGGCUCAUCACAUCCUGGGGCUGUAGUAGGUCCCAAGGGUUGGGCUGUUCGCCCAUUAAAGUGGUACGCGAGCUGGGUUCAGAACGUCGUGAGACAGUUCGGUCCCUAUCCGUCGCAGGCGUAGGAAAUUUGAGAAGACCUGUCCUAGUACGAGAGGACCGGGACGGACGUACCUCUGGUGUACCAGUUGUUCUGCCAAGGGCAUGGCUGGGUAGCUAUGUACGGAAUGGAUAAGCGCUGAAAGCAUCUAAGCGCGAAGCCAACUUCAAGAUAAGAUUUCCCACCGUAAGGGUAAGACCCCAGGAAGACUACCUGGUUGAUAGGUCGAAGGUGUAAGUGCAGUAAUGUAUUUAGCUUAUCGAUACUAAUAGGUCGAGGACUUGAUC